GGUAUUUUUUCAUGUAACUGAGGCACCCUGUUUUGUUUUGCAAGAUUUUUAUUCCUGUCUCUUCAAAUUUCAUAAAAGUACUUGCUAUUUAAAUACAGUGGUAAUUAACUCUUGCUGCGUGGGAAGUCAGGUUAUUUAAAUAUUUUGUUGCAAAAUUAAUGAAACACGCUACAAUUUUUUUACUUAGAAUAGCCGCAUUGAUACAAUCGCUUGUUAGGGAGUCGUUGUCAUCCAUGGAGUUAUCAGACGGUAGUAAAACAAAAUCUAAACGUGCAACUCGUCGCACAUGCAAAUUCUAAGAAAGUUGAAAAACCGAAUUUAAUUGGGAGCAGCGAGGCUGCAAGAAUACCAUGGUGAGAUGCAUUGCUUGCGUGGUCUAUGCUUACAGUAGGAUCAUCCCGCGGCGGAGUGGAUUGUCCUGUUUGUUUUCCACUACUGAGGUCCACUCUUUUUCGCACUCUUUGCGGUUAGUGCGUUCUGCUGUCCCAGGAGAUUGCACUGAUGUUGUAGGUUGCUGCUACUUGAGGAGCUGUUGGUUUCCCCGAUGUUGUUGCUACUUAAGGAGCUGUUGGUUCCACCGUUGUUGCUGCUACUUGAGGAGCUGUUGUUGUCACCUUUGUUGCUGCUACUUGAGGAGCUGUGUAGGUGCGGUAGUCGCGGUACAGAUAUUAGCACUACAUUAGUUAUUAUUUAUUACGGCGAUCGCGACUGGCAGUUGGGCGCCAGUUAUUAUAUUUUAUGUUACGUUUUGCAAAAAAAUAUAAUUUUUAGGCCGAAGCCGUCUUUAUUGAAUCAAAGUGAAACUUA